rnacentral:rRNA from 1 species
UACGGGAGGCAGCAGUGAGGAAUAUUGGUCAAUGGUCGGAAGACUGAACCAGCCAUGCCGCGUGCAGGAAGACGGCCUUAUGGGUUGUAAACUGCUUUUGCAAGGGAAGAAUAAGCUCUACGAGUAGAAAAAAGACGGUACUUUGCGAAUAAGCAUCGGCUAACUCCGUGCCAGCAGCCGCGGUAAUACGGAGGAUGCGAGCGUUAUCCGGAAUCAUUGGGUUUAAAGGGUCUGUAGGCGGGUUGUUAAGUCAGGGGUGAAAGUUUGCGGCUUAACCGUAAAAUUGCCUUUGAUACUGGCUAUCUUGAAUUAUUGUGAAGUUGUUAGAAUGUGUAGUGUAGCGGUGAAAUGCAUAGAUAUUACACAGAAUACCGAUUGCGAAGGCAGAUGACUAACAAUAGAUUGACGCUGAGAGACGAAAGCGUGGGGAGCAAAGAGGAUUAGAUACCCUGGUAGUCCACGCUGUAAACUAUAGAGACUAGCUGUUUGGCAUUAUAGUUGAGUGGCUAAGCGAAAGUGAUAAG